UAUCGCAAACAUAGGUGACUUCUACUAGAAAAUUACUGUUUAUGAUGAUUUAUGGAGAUUGCCUGGUAAACAAAUGCUGACAGAUAAUCACUGUUUCUCUGCUUUAAAAUAACUGGCACAUUCAAUUUCUGUCUUUCAGAUGAGAAACAAAAUCAGGAGAGCCAAAGGACUCAACUAUCUGGACAAGGCAGUCUGAGGUGGGCAAGGAGGCUUUGAUCCGUCCAAAAAACAAACCCUUACUCUUGCCCUUGAGCUAGGUCCCCAAAAGGGGGUUGAAGACAAGAAAAGAUAACUUGGGCUUGCUAUCUACGUCUUCCUCCGUGCCAAAACAACCCACAACCCAAAACAUUUCUCACAAAGUUGCCCCUAAGGCUAACAGGACUUACUUGUUCAUCAAAUGAAGCUGCAAGAAGAGGUUGGCCAAAGAGGAAUUAAGGCAAGAUAUGCUUUCAGAUUCUAAAUAGUAUGUGAAAGAACUACAAUAUAGGUUAAGAAGUUUCUCCCCAGGACAGGGCUGAAAGGGUGUAGCAGGAAGCUAGAAAGAAUGGACCUAACUACUCUUCAUAUAUUCAAGCCACAAAGCCCAGAGAAUCUAUACCCUCACAAAUGGAAAGAAAUGGCAAAUGGGAUUGCUUAAUCACUGCCAGUGACAACCAAAGUUCAUUCGUAGCAAAAUCAUAUGACACACGAAGGGAAAAAUGAUUUCAUCAACAGCAGAUCGCAGUUGGAUUGUCUUCAUGGACAAAUGAACACUGAGAAGAUGUAGUGUCCAAACAGGCAACCAGAAUGAAGGGUCUCCAGUUUGUGCCAUAUGUUCUCAGCUGAAAGGACGGGGGCUCUUUGGCAUGAAAAAGAGAAGACUUGGGGAGGACAUGUUCUUCUUCAAGUAUUUCAAGGGCUGUCACACAGCAGAGGAAAAAAUGACUUGUUCUGCUCGACUCCAGAGAAGCCAUAGGUACCAUGGGUAAAAAUAACAGGGGUAUAUUUAGGUUAGGCAUGCUGCAAAGAAAUCCGUCCUGAUAGUAGUCACUUGGCCAAAGUGACAGAAGGCCCUGCCAUGGCUGGAGAGGGCACUUGGGUUGUGGUGUUUUUGUGAUCUCCUUUCUGAAAUCCCUUCCAAGGCAGUCAGAAAUAGACUGUGGAAUACUUUGGUUAAUUAGAGCACAUGUGUUGCAAUUUAGGACAAUGUUAAGAAAGUGACUGUCUAUACUGUUUGUCUCAGAGAUCUCACCUCAAGGCCUAUACCCAAAGAAGGCAUAGCUAAGAAGGUCCCAUAGGCCAAAAUAUUGAGAUCAGCACUUUUUGUGAUACCAAGUAACUGGAAACAAAAUUAGAUGCCCAUUGAUUGGGAAAUGGCUAAACGAUGAUAGUCCAAGAAUGUGACAAAAUACUAUUGCAACAGAAGAAACUCUGAAGAUGAACAGAGAUGAAUGGGGGCAUUUAAAUGGACUGAAGCAAAGUAAAGCAAGCAGAACCAGGAAAAUACACAUAGUUGAUACAUAACAGUGUCUAUGGGAAGAACACAGGUCCCAAAGUGAAGCUGUGUGGUAAGUGACCAAAUUCAGGGUGUAAAGGAGAAGGCACCUGCUGCUCUGUUCUAGAACACAGGUCCCAAAGUGAAGCUGUGUGGUAAGUGACCAAAUUCAGGGUGUAAGAGAGGAGAAGGCUGCUCUGUUCUUUGCAAAGUUGAAAGAGUAGAGCACUGAAUGUGCUGCCCUUUGUUCUGAGAUAGGGGAGGGAGGAGGAAUGUAUUUGAAGUGGAGGUAAAAACAAAAGCUAUUAAAAAAUGAGAAGAAAAAAAAAAUAGAUGCUUCACCUGUGGAGAAUGUUCUCAAGUUAAUACCUCUGAUGAACAGGUUAUCUUCAAGGAAGUCUAAAUUUGCCACUGAGAGUGGUGGUUCUAACAAAUACCUGAAAAUUAAGGGAUAAGGAAGAAACGUGGCAGCCUUUUACUAAUUCAGAGCAGAAGCAUGCCCCAAUAACUUGUUCCAUUAACAUCACGUUAAGGAAAAGGGACAUUAUGAAGUUAAGCCAUAGAAAUAUGGUUCUAAAUGGGCAUUGCCAAAAGUCACACAAGAGUUUAAUUCCAUCAUUAACAAGCAUUACCAAAACAACCAUAGAAGGUGAAGUAUUCUGUGAGUAAGCCUGCAAUAGUAAAACUUGGAAGCUUAUUUUUCCAUGUGAUAGUAAAAAUUUCCAGACCUUUUUCUUAAAGCAGUGAUUAGGACACAGCAAUGUACCAGGUACCUGGGUAUCCAAGGAUGACAGGGAUAUAUCACUGAGGAGGCAUUUUGUGAUAGCAGAGAACACACUGGGAUUUAGGGUCAAAUGAUUUGGGUUUUAAUGCCAGCUGUUAUUUACUGCCUUAGUUUUCUCCGCUGUAAAAUAACUUAAGACCACAUGCAAAAUCUCUUCCAACUCUAGCUUCUAUGGGGGUGGGGUUGGAGGGCUAGAAGGCAGCUUUCAGGUCGAAUCUGGCUAUGUUUUAGCUAAACAACAACCUAUUUCCCUAUCAGCAAAAUGGAAAUAAUGCUACUAGCUGUCCCCUGAAUUAAAGACCUUGAGAGUUGCCUUCAAUUUCUUUCUUUUCUUCUCUUAUUGCUAAAGCUAACAUUUCCAGUACCAUAUUGAACAGUGGUCAUAAUGGAUACCCUUGUUUCACCCCCAAUCUUAUUGGAAAUGCUUCUAGCUUAUAUCCCCAUUACAAAAGACCUUGAGUUGGAAAAGAGCUCAGGGCCACCUAGUUGAACUUUCAUUUUACAGAUAAGACAACUGAGGCCAAAGUUAAGUGACUUACCCAAGGUCAUACUAAGUGUCACAGGACUCAAAUGUUCUUUCCAUUAUACCUUGCAUUACAGCUGACAUGAUUAUCACUGAGAACUUUGAAUUAUGUGGGAAAACUAUUGCCAUCAUCAAAAAGGCCAGGAGUCUUUAAUGGGGAAAAUAGUUUGUGGCUGCCAAUUACUAGUACCACAGACCAGCUUACAGUGACCAGUCUGGACUGGAGAGUCUUUCACUUAAUCAUUACUGCAGAGUCAUCAGCAACUUAGGUAGUAUUAAGGUACCAAAAACCCCCAUGAAAUAGUUCAGAGAUUUUAUUCUAAUAGCUUUAAUUACAGUGCUUGUUUGUCCAAAUGAAAACUGAAAACAAGUAUACAAAACAGUCGAUUACUAAGUGUGUACUGAAAGCAGUAAGAGUUUCCACAACACCAAACAAACCAGUUCUGAGUUUUUCCCGAGACAAAGUUUCACAGCUCCAGCUUCUUCAGUGUUUAUCAAAAUACAAAAGAAAAAAAAAA